UGCUGUGUAGGCAGGUCUUCAAAAUCAGGAAAAACUUGAAGCGUGGGCUGAGAGGCUCCUGAGCUCUUUCUGAUGGAUGCGAGCAGCUUGUCGUGACCUGCCAUAAACCACCUUUCUCGCUACCACAGCCUGGCAGCCUCUCUCUGGUUUAAAACACACCUCUGCUGCCGCAUAAGUCAUCUGUCCAGCUCCCAGAGGCGAGAUGCUCCACACGGCUGGAAGACGUGCUCGCUCCCUGCCCUGGCUGCUGGCAGGUGGGGAUGGAGGGAAGCCUGCUGCUCUCCAAAGGCUAGAAGCACACCAGACUGCUGUCUCCAGUGGAAUCCCAGGGGCUCUGCUGUCCUCCAUUUUGUCGCAGUGAUGGGAAGCCCUCCUGGCGGGUGGCCGUGUGGCUUCCUCCCUCCCGCUCCUUCCUUCUCCUCUCGGAGUUUUUGUCUUUUGUUGCCCCUUCUGUCGCUUUCCCGCCCGUCGGCCCUUAUCUCCCCCUUCCAGUCGUGCUGCUUCCCCUCCCCUUCCUUCCUCAGUGGCACGGACGCCUCAUGAGGGCGCCUCCUUUACUGCCCCCUCCCCCCCAACCCGGCUGAGGGGGCGCGCGGGGCCCCCGAGAGCGGGAAACCGUUAACCACGGGGUCCCCCGACUCCUGGCAGCAGGGGCCGAGCCGCGACCCCGCCGCUGAUUGGCUGAGAUUUGCCGCAGUUCCGCCCCUCCGCCGCGGCCCGCCUUCCCGCUCAGCCUCGCGCGCGGCGGGGGCCGCUUCCCCCUCACCCUUCCCCCCCCCGCCCGCAACGGUCGUUCCCCAACGGCUCCGCUCGCCUCCCCGCGCCGCGGAGUCGCCCCUUCAGGGGCUGGCAGGGCGGGCGGCUGCCGCUAAGGCCCUCCUUCCCACCCUAAACCAGCCUCUGCUUCCCUUUCUGCCUCACCCCCACCUCACACGAGAAGCUUUUCCUGUCAGGUUGCGUGAGCUUUGUGCCGGCGGUGGGUGGCGAGAAGCGGAAUGUCGUUCCGAGUCUAAACGGACGGGGGGAAAGUUGUAAACCCUAAUCCCUAAGGAUUUUUUUUCAACAUCGUGCGUGAGAAAAGAUUACGUUUAGCUGGACUUUGCUACAAAUGCUCAGCGUGGAAGCGUGAAGAAAUUCUUUUCUAGUUAAACCCCUGUAGCUAAAGAACUCUUUAAAGCACGUGCUUUUAGGCAGCUAGCGCUGCAGUGUAGUUCAGAUGUUUGUUACCCAAAUUUGGCCUGCUCUCCCAAGGAAACGUGGCACAGUCACCGGACAAAUUUGUCCUUUUCUCACCACCUUCCCCACAGUAGCUAUCGCCUAAUUUCAGGUCCCGGCAGGUGCCUGUAAAGACAUUGCUCCUGCUUUACACGUGUCUGGUAGCAGAAGUCACGGCCUCCCUGGUCACGCUUGUGCGCUGUGUCUUUAGACCCACCUAGGACAGGCAUCCUUUUCACUAUUUUAACCCUAGUGCAGAGGAAUUGUUGGCAUCAUGUAACCUCCAGAACAAUGAAGAAGUUCGCGUGAUGGUGUCUGAGGCCCUUAGAGAGCUCAGAGCAGCGCUGUAAUACGCAGAAGACAGUUACCUUGAAGGCUUUUACACGCCUUCGAACAGCACUCCUGCCUGCAAAAGCCAAACGGGAGCACGGCCUACAGAGGUGAGCGCUAGACUAGGACCGAAGCCUGGAGCUAGUCCCAGUUUCACCAGCAAGCGACAGCUCACGCCUGCCUUUCAACCGCUGCUCCCCACCUCCGCCUUUCGCGCGACUGGCCGUGUCUGGAGCGUGCAGCGAGCCGCCCGUCUCCUCCUGCGUGCCCGUCUCCGCGCGCCGCUGCAACACAGACGCCAGCGCGAGGCACCUGCGAGCGAACCUUCCAACAACAUCCCCCCACAUCGGCACGAGGGGUCUCUGAAGCCAAAGCGGCCGCAACAACUGCCCACAGCACGAAGCUCUGGCCCACUGGCAUUGCUUCAUGGCAGCGCCUUACGCCCGCCGGUCUGUGCAGUCUGGGAGGCGGCUGAACACUCUGCAAAACCACAGCAACGCUCCCACGUAAGAUCUAAUGAGGGUAUGUUACCAGGAGGAUGGUUACUCUGGCAAUGCAAUAAAGCGCUACCAGUUUCUAGGUUGACUCAUUCCUUCAAUAUGCUGAUCAAGUUAUCCGAACAUUAAUGCUUUAAAAAAAUAGAAGGUAAAGAAAUAAAAAUCGGGAUAUACCAUGAAUCCUGCAGAAAUGUGAUUCCCCCAGAACAGGUCUAAAAUACGUGUACCUGCCAAGGCUGUGAAUCAUGAGGGUUUAAAAAAAUAAUAAUAAAGAAAAAAAUCUCGCGCAAAUGCCUGCACCCGUUUGCAGAUCUCGGCACCGCACCGUCUCGAAAUAUGCACCCUGGGAGGGCAGCAGCCGGGCUUGUAAGAGGUGCACAGGAACGCUGCCUGCACUACGGCCGUUCAGCUCCGCGAUUACGGCUAGAGAGCUGUCCCUCCUCCAGUUUUAUUUUUAGGCAUUAGAGUCAGGCAGACUUAGUUCUUAACAGAGAAUGACUUGCUUUUAUUUUUAAAGGGGACUCCUGUUUACUUGCUAGCUGGAGAGAAAGUCUGUGCGUGGAGGGGGAGAGGCGGUGAGACACUGUCACCUAAUACUUCAGGAAGGUCUUAGAAGUGGGCAGCACGACCACCUCCGAGCACCUCCCCAUCUGGACUGCGGCUGAAGUACGAGCCAAACUCCCACCCAUGGCGGAGGGGUGAGCCGGAGCGCAGUAAAACUGCACCGUGCUGCGGCUGUUGUCGCUUCCCAGGACCCUGAGGACCCUGCGAGAGACAGAGCAAGCACCUAGCGCGGUGGUCACAGCUACCCCAGCUCUGGCUGGGAAAGCCUCCGAGCAGAGCGCAAAUAUCGAGCCACAAGGAGAAUCUGAACUGAUCUCUCCGCUCUACUCCUACACCCUCCUUCCCUCCAUAGAAAGGAGGGCCCGCGGCCGGUCCAAGCACUCCUCCCAGAGGCACAGGUAUCCGGCGGCCGGGCUCCGCCAGCUAAGCCCGCCACAGCCGCCCUCGGCACAGCCAGGCUAUUGCUGCAACUGGGUAAGUGGGUCAGGCUAGAUAUCCCCUUGGAUUAGUCACAGCAGGUCUGUGCUUAACCUGGGCUCUGGGUGAGGCAGCUCCACGCGCCAGAUGCUCCUCCUGGUCUUGGUCUUCCGUUUUUAGCCAAUUAUUGAUCAUUUUUUAACCCUGUCCCCUCCAAACCCAGCAGAAUUUUCUUGAAAUCCAUUUGCCUGUGCAGGAAGAGAAGGGAGCCGCUUGCCCGUGGGACUGGUGGUAAAACUGUUUGCCAACAGCAAGGAAUCCGCUCCCUCACGUCGAAUUUUCUUUAGGAAGCGGGGGAAGCCAGAGCGCUCCUUUCCAGCUGUCAGCCCAGAGAAGGGGAGCAGUUAGGAGGCACUGCGGCCACGUUAGGCUCUCCCACUUCUUCAGUUCAAAGUCCAGUAAUCGUGUUCUUGGCUCUCCUCUCCCUGCCCUACUGCCACAGCAAAGCCACCGACUUUAAGAGCUCUUUGCAUUCUGCAUUGUGGUGUGAGCCCGUGACCCUCCGCAAAUGCUAACUUAAAGAGCGGAGAGCAACUGCAUGCCCCAAGGUUUAACUGCAGCACAGUUCUGCCCAAAUUCACCUGGUUCCUGCAGGUAAUUACAGAUGUUGCUACGGUCAGUGUUAAGGAACGGCACAAAGUCAAGGAAGAGCUCUCGCUUUCACCAUAAAUAUAAUUUAAAUACGCAUUGCAAGUGUGUUUUUUAAAGAACCUGUGAUUAAUAAUCUCCAGCCUUCCAGCCCUUCCAUUAGAGCUCGUUAUGCUGCAGGGAAAAAACCAGACGGGAGCUCUACACUCAGGCCUUCCUUUAUCAAGUGGUUCGACCCGUGGCCAGGGGCAGUGGCGUAGCCGCGGGCUGAGCCCCCGGCACGAGUCCGCUGUAGAGCUGCAUUAAGCGGGCAGAUGCGGCGUUUCAGUUCUCACACGGCGGGCACAGCUCUGCAGCGAGCUGUUGCCUCGGCUCGUCAUGCGGGAAAACGCGUCCGGGAAGGCUUUUUUACCUUUCUGACAAUCAAGUCAUAAUAGAAGUAUUUUUAGUAGGGCUGCCAAAAUUUCUAAUGUAACAGAGGCAGCCAAUCUGGUUUGAUUAGAAAAACACUGAAAAUUCCUUGACAACAACAGAUUAUUUUUUUUUCCACCCUGCUGGCAUUUCUCAAAGGAUCUCAAAGCCCUACCGCAUGCAUAUACAACCCUCCUAGACUUAACAGCGCGAGGGCUGCCUGUUAAGGGGAACAGAGGGAAAAAAAAAGAAUUAAGUAAUCUGAGAUGGGACAGAUUUAAGGCCUCAUCCGCAGCAAAACUGAGCGUGCACCGUCAAAGAGGUUUUCUGAUCUUUAGAUUUCCGCAUUUCUCUGGCUCUCAUCGCUUGGCUUUUCGACACCUCCGCUGCUUUAAUGCAUUUAUUUCUCACAGCUCUUGGCUGCAGCCAGGAACAGAAGACCCAAGCCGCGCUCCCAACCCUAUCACGGCCUGACCUGCCCAUGGGUAACAGCAGGAAAGAGGCCAAGGAAUAGGUGCACUACAUGGAUUUAUCUGGUGGAGGCAGAGGAGGGAAGACAAGAAAGAAAAUUUUUCUCAUACCUUGUAAAACCACUAGGAUUUUUUCAAAGAGGGGAAUAAACUGCAACAGUACAGCCUGUUAGCUUCUGUAGCCUGAUUUAUUUACAAGGAGGCCCUCAGACUACCUGCCUCAUUCUGGGACAUGAGCAUUCU